UCCUGCGGAAGGAUCAUUCACAAUAAGUGUUUUAUGGCACUUUUUCAAUCCAUAUCCACCUUGUGUGCAAUGUUGUCUUGUAGUGCGAAUGCUUGUCAUUUGCGCUACAGGAUGUAAACAUCAACUCUUAUCUUUAACAACUUUGUCUAAAACCUGUAUGAAUACUUAAUUCAAAUACAACUUUCAACAACGGAUCUCUUGGCUCUCGCAUCGAUGAAGAACGCAGCGAAAUGCGAUACGUAAUGUGAAUUGCAGAAUUCAGUGAAUCAUCGAAUCUUUGAACGCAUAUUGCGCUCUCUGGUAUUCCGGAGAGCAUGCUUGUUUGAGUAUCAGUAAACACCUCAAAUCCCUCUACUUGUUGGAGGAAUUUGGACUUGAGCAAUCCCAACUUUUCGAAAGAGAAGGCGGGUUGCUUGAAAUGCAGGUGCAGCUAGAUUCUUUCUUCUGAGCUAUAAGCAUACUUAUUUAAUCCCGUCAAACGGAUUAUUACUUUUGCUGCAGCUAACAUAAAGGUUGAAGAGUCGCUAUGGCUGACUGAUGCAGGAUUUAACAUUUCGCGCAAGCGAUUUGUAAACUCGAUCUCAAAUCAAGCAAGACUACCCGCUGAACUUAAGCUCAUCAAUAAGCGGAGGA
rnacentral:rRNA from 1 species